GGGUGAUUAGCUCAGCUGGGAGAGCACCUCCCUUACAAGGAGGGGGUCGGCGGUUCGAUCGCAGUUGACUUUUAAUCAAUUGGUCGCAGGUUCGAAUCCUGCACGACCCACCA
rnacentral:tRNA from 1 species